rnacentral:rRNA from 1 species
UGAGGAAUAUUGGUCAAUGGACGGAAGUCUGAACCAGCCAAGUAGCGUGCAGGAUGACGGCCCUAUGGGUUGUAAACUGCUUUUGUAUGGGGAUAAAGUUAGGGACGUGUCCCUAUUUGCAGGUACCAUACGAAUAAGGACCGGCUAAUUCCGUGCCAGCAGCCGCGGUAAUACGGAAGGUCCAGGCGUUAUCCGGAUUUAUUGGGUUUAAAGGGAGCGUAGGCUGGAGAUUAAGUGUGUUGUGAAAUGUAGACGCUCAACGUCUGAAUUGCAGCGCAUACUGGUUUCCUUGAGUACGCACAACGUUGGCGGAAUUCGUCGUGUAGCGGUGAAAUGCUUAGAUAUGACGAAGAACUCCGAUUGCGAAGGCAGCUGACGGGAGCGCAACUGACGCUUAAGCUCGAAGGUGCGGGUAUCAAACAGGAUUAGAUACCCUGGUAGUCCGCACAGUAAACGAUGGAUGCCCGCUGUUGGUACCUGGUAUCAGCGGCUAAGCGAAAGCAUUAAGCAUCCCACCUGGGGAGUACGCCGGCNACGGU